rnacentral:lncRNA from 1 species
CCCUGUCGGACUCGGAGGCUUUUUCGUUAUGGGGUCUGACUGUUAGUCGGUUUUGAAAGUGGAAUCGUGCUUCAGAUCGAUGUCAACUUUUUACUCCUGAUGCCGAUGGUGGGGUCGACAAUCCGUUUCUAUGUAUCCUGCGUCUCCGUCUCAGCUGCAUGAUCAAAGUCAUUUUCGUCGGUGGACGAAAAUCUGAAGCCCGCCCC